CACUUGCAUUUUAUCCUGUUAUUCGAAAAUGUUAAUUUAUUUGAAAAUGGUUGAGCGUGAUUCAUUUUAGUUAAUAUGAAUUUAUAAAUACCCAUUUUUUGUUUAUGUCAAAUCGUUUCUUAACCCAACAACUUCUAAAAUUACGGGAGCAUUAGUGACGUUUUUUACCAGUAAGUGCAGGUCUCCUGUAUUCAUUUAAGUCUUGUACAAGAAAGUUCUGCCUUUUUACAGCAUAUAUGUUCUUAUAUUACACAUAAUUUAGUCAUGUGACCGUGACGUCAUAAACGUUUUUUCAUGGUUUUCGUUGGUUUAAAAUGGAAUUUAGAAUUAUAUUUUAAGAAAUAACUGUAAUAUUUUUUCUGUCUAUUCGAAAUAACAUAAAAAAUGUGGUGCACACGCGUGUUAUUUAGUGUGCAUCACAUUUUUUAUGUUAUUUCGAAUAGACAGAAACAAUAUUAUAGUCAUU
rnacentral:lncRNA from 1 species